GAUCUUAGUUCAGUUGGUUAAAACCUGGUGCUAAUAACACCAAGGUCAUGGGUUCAAUCCCCAGUAUGGGUCA
rnacentral:tRNA from 1 species